GAUCUCCUGGAUCUUCAACAGAAAUGUCUCAUGCUUCAAGCACAGAAAAGGCAGAGGACUGAUAGCCAGGAGAGCCCAUUGAACAAAUCGAGGUGUCACAAUACCGCCUGUACAGCUUUUACUGAAGUAGGCACUGCCUAGAUUAUUAUGUAAAAGAAUUAAAAGCUACAAGCCUUGGAAUGUACUAUGUAUGGGUACCUGCACUGAACAUGCGCUAUACGCUUAAAUAAUGAGUUUCGACAUAUGGCCUACCGCCCGUCAUGUUAUGCAUGAACAGAGCCUACCUGAACCUGCUGCGAGGAAGGCGA